UACGUAGGGGGCAAGCGUUGUCCGGAUUUAUUGGGCGUAAAGAGCUCGUAGGCGGUUCGACAAGUCGGAUGUGAAAUCUCCACGCUCAACGUGGAGGGGCCAUUCGAAACUGUCGUGACUUGAGUCCGGUAGGGGAGUGUGGAAUUCCCGGUGUAGCGGUGAAAUGCGCAGAGAUCGGGAGGAACACCCGUAGCGAAGGCGGCACUCUGG
rnacentral:rRNA from 1 species